GCGCUCGUAGCUCAGUGGAUAGAGCAGUUGCCUUCUAAGCAAUUGGUCGUAGGUUCGAUCCCUACCGAGCGCG
rnacentral:tRNA from 1 species